rnacentral:rRNA from 1 species
UUGAUCCUGCCAGUAUUAUACGCUCGUCUCAAAGAUUAAGCCAUGCAAGUACAAGUCCUGAACUGAAUGUAGUGAAACCGCGAAUGGCUCAUUACAACAGACUUUGUUUAAAAGUGGCUACUAAUAUUUGGAUAACUCUUGCAACUCUAGAGCUAAUACAUGCACCUAAGCCUGUCGCCUCGUGCUCGGGCGCAGUUACUAGAAUACUCCUGUUGCUAAUCCAAUUAGAAAGCCUUUUUGAAUCUGAGUAACUUUUUUCAGUGGAGCGGCCAAUUGUUGGUGCCAUCACUUCUAAGUGUCUGCCUCAUCAGCUUUAAACCGUAGUGUAUACGACUACGAUGGCUGUGACGGGUAACGGGGAAUCAGGGUUCGAUUCCGGAGAGGGAGCCUGAGAGACGGCUACCACGUCUAUGGACGGCAGCAGGCACGCAAAUUACCCACUCUUAGUUCGGGGAAGUAGUGACAAGUUGUACUGGUGUAGUCUUUUAUUGGACUGCAUCGGAUUGAGACGCACUCGAACCUGGUGUCGAGCGAGAGGAGGGCAAGUCUGGUGCCAGCAGCCGCGGUAAUACCAGCUCCUCGAGUGUAUAUUAUAUGUGUUGCGGUUAAAAAGUUCGUAACUAAAACGUGGUGGCGUUACUAUACGGUACUCUUCUUAUCCACCAGAACUGACCGUUUGUAAGUGUGGGUUUUCGCCGUCUUUGGAUCGGCGUGGCCGCAGCGGUCAGGGUAAUUUUGACAAAAUUUGAGUGGUCAAAGCUGGCUUCAGCGCCUCUAUCGUUAUAGCAGGAUCAUUGUAAUGAUUCUUCCGUGUCACUUUGUUGGACGGUUGACACGAAGGCAUAACUAAUAUAGGUGGACGGGGGCAUCCGUACUGUCGGGCGAGCGGUGAAAUGUGUUGACCCUGACAAGACGAUCAAAAGCGAAAGCAGAUGUCCAGAACACUCUCAUUAGUUAAGAACGAAAGUCAGAGGUUCGAAGGCGAUUAGAUACCGCCGUAGUUCUGACCGUAAACUGUGUCUACCAGCAAUCCAGUGUGAGAUCCAACCCGAAAUUAAUCGGGUUAAUCGUCUCUACUGGGCGACUCACGGAAACCACAGUGUGGGACUCCGGGGGAAGUAUGGUUGCAAAGCUGAAACUUAAAGGAAUUGACGGAAAGGAACCACCAGGAGUGGAGCCUGCGGCUUAAUUCGACUCAACACGGGUAAACUUACCAGGGCCAGACUCUAAUGGGACUGACAGAAUAAAGCUCACAUCUCUCAUGAUACUAGCGGGUGGUGGUGCAUGGCCGUUCAUAGUUGGUGGAGUGAUUUGUCUGGUUAAUUCCGAUAACGAGCAAGAUUCUCACCUAUUAAGUAAAAAGCCGAUUUCAGUCGGUAACAUGGUCGCCCCGUGCGGUUGUGUUGGCUUCUUAGAGGAAUGUGCAAGGGCUAAAGCUAAUACAUUGAGUACAGCCCCGAGAGAGAGAGCAAUAACAGGUCUGUGAUGCCCUUAGAUGUCCUGGGCCGCACGCGUGCUACAUUGUGGUACAGAACGUGCUGUUUACCGUUAAACCUGCCCAGUAAUGGGUGGGUAAUCAUAUGAAUGUACAAUACAAGACUGGGACAGAGCUAUUCAUUUACGCUCUCGAACGAGGAAUUCCUCGUAUGCCCACAUCACUACUGUGGGCAGAAUAAGUCCCUUCCUUUUGUACACACCGCCCGUCGCUACUACCGAUGGAUGUUCGGGUGAGGACGUUGGACUGCGAUCCUGGAGUGGGGACCUCGUGUUCACUCUCCACCGCACAAGACGGUACCAAGCUCGGGUAUUCAGAGGAAGUAAAAGUCGUAACAAGGUUUUCGUAGGUGAACCUGCAGAUGGAUCA